rnacentral:rRNA from 1 species
UACGGGGGGAGCAAGCGUUGUUCGGAUUUACUGGGCGUAAAGGGCGCGUAGGCGGCCACCGCAAGUCGACUGUGAAAUCUCCGGGCUUAACUCGGAAAGGUCAGCCGAUACUGCGGGGCUAGAGUGCAGAAGGGGCAACUGGAAUUCUCGGUGUAGCGGUGAAAUGCGUAGAUAUCGGGAAGAACACCCGUGGCGAAGGCGGCUCUCUGGGACGGUACUGACGCUGAGACGCGAAAGCGUGGGGAGCAAACAGG